CCUACGGGCGGCAGCAGUGAGGAAUAGUGGUCAAUGGACGAGAGUCUGAACCAGCCAAGUAGCGUGAAGGAUGACUGCCCUAUGGGUGGUAAACUUCUUUUAUAGGGGAAUAAAAUGUGCCACGUGUGGGAUUUUGUAUGGACCAUAUGAAUAAGGAUCGGCUAACUCCGGGCCAGCAGCCGCGGUAAUACGGAGGAUCCGAGCGUUAUCCGGAUUUAUUGGGUUUAAAGGGAGCGUAGGGGGCUUGUUAAGUCAGUUGUGACCGUUUGCGGCUCAACCGUAAAAUUGCAGUUGAAACGGGCAGUCUUGAGUACAGUAGAGGUGGGCGGCAUUCGUGGUGUAGCGGU
rnacentral:rRNA from 1 species